rnacentral:rRNA from 1 species
CCUACGGGUGGCAGCAGUGGGGAAUAUUGGACAAUGGGCGAAAGCCUGAUCCAGCCAUGCCGCGUGUGUGAAGAAGGCCUUCGGGUUGUAAAGCACUUUCAGUGGGGAAGAAAGCCUUGGGGCUAAUACCCUCGAGGAAGGACAUCACCCACAGAAGAAGCACCGGCUAACUCCGUGCCAGCAGCCGCGGUAAUACGGAGGGUGCGAGCGUUAAUCGGAAUUACUGGGCGUAAAGCGCGCGUAGGCGGUCUGAUAAGCCGGUUGUGAAAGCCCCAGGCUCAACCUGGGAACGGCAUCCGGAACUGUCAGGCUAGAGUGCAGGAGAGGAAGGUAGAAUUCCCGGUGUAGCGGUGAAAUGCGUAGAGAUCGGGAGGAAUACCAGUGGCGAAGGCGGCCUUCUGGACUGACACUGACGCUGAGGUGCGAAAGCGUGGGUAGCAAACAGGAUUAGAUACCCGAGUAGUC